UACGGAGGGGGCUAGCGUUGUUCGGAAUUACUGGGCGUAAAGCGCACGUAAGCGGCUUUGUAAGUUAGAGGUGAAAGCCCGGGGCUCAACUCCGGAAUUGCCUUUAAGACUGCAUCGCUCGAAUUGUGGAGAGGUAAGUGGAAUUCCGAGUGUAGAGGUGAAAUUCGUAGAUAUUCGGAAGAACACCAGUGGCGAAGGCGACUUACUGGACACAUAUUGACGCUGAGGUGCGAAAGCGUGGGGAGCAAACAGG
rnacentral:rRNA from 1 species